AUUGAACGAUGGCGGAAUGCUUUACACAUGCAAGUCGAACGGCAGCACGGACUUCGGUCUGGUGGCGAGUGGCGAACGGGUGAGUAAUGUAUCGGAACGUGCCCAGUCGUGGGGGAUAACGUAGUGAAAAUUACGCUAAUACCGCAUACGAUCUAUGGAUGAAAGCGGGGGAUAGCAAGACCUCGCGCGAUUGGAGCGGCCGAUAUCAGAUUAGGUAGUUGGUGGGGGAAAGGCCCACCAAGCCAACGAACUGUAGCUGGUCUAAGAGGACGGCCAGCUACACAGGAACUGAGACACGGGCCAGCCUACUACGGAAGGCAGCAGUGGGGAAUUUUGGACAAUGGGCGAAAGCCUGAUCCAGCCAUUCCGCGUGCAGGAUGAAGGCCCUCGGGUUGUAAACUGCUUUUGUACAGAACGAAAAGGUUUCUACUAAUACUAGGAGCUCAUGACGGUACUGUAAGAAUAAGCACCGGCUAACUACGUGCCAGCCGCCGCCGUAA
rnacentral:rRNA from 1 species